rnacentral:rRNA from 1 species
GUGCCCGCACUCCAACCCUCUGUGUACCAACCUUGUUGCUUUGGCGGGCCCGCGGCUCUCGCGAACGGCUCAGGAGUUUUCCAUCCGGUUAGCCUUGGGACUUAUUAGUUUUGAUUGAACCCUCCGAACCCGCCAGAGAUCAGUUAAAUUCUUGUUAUUUUAGUGCAGUCUGAGUAAAAACUUAAUAGUUAAAACUUUCAACAACGGAUCUCUUGGUUCUGGCAUCGAUGAAGAACGCAGCGAAAUGCGAUAAGUAAUGUGAAUUGCAGAAUUCAGUGAAUCAUCGAAUCUUUGAACGCACAUUGCGCCCCCUGGUAUUCCGGGGGGCAUGCCUGUUCGAGCGUCAUUUCAACCCUCAAGCUCUGCUUGGUAUUGGGCGUCGCCGGGGAGUCUCUCCGGCGUGCCUCAAAGCUAUCGGCGGUGGUGCCCUUCUCUAAGCGUGGUAGAAUUUUUAUUCGCUUCUGAGUUGGGCUUCGCCUGCCGGAUAAACCGGGCUCUACAGCCCACUUUCUCAGGUUGACCUCGGAUCAGGUAGGGAUACCCGCUGAACUUAAGCAUAUCAAUAAGCGGAGGAA